AGGUUAACCGCCAGAGGAGACGGGAAGCCGUAGCGAAAGCGAGUCUGAAUAGGGCGCAAUAGUAUGUUGAUGUAAACCCGAAACCAAGUGACCUACCCAUGUCCAGGUUGAAGGUGCGGUAAAACGCACUGGAGGACCGAACCCGUGUAUGUUGAAAAAUGCUGGGAUGAGGUGUGGGUAGCGGUGAAAUUCCAAACGAACUUGGAGAUAG
rnacentral:rRNA from 1 species